UCAUACCUGCAGGAAGAGGGACACAUGCAGACAUCACUGAGUAUCAUACCAAUGGCUGUGGUCAGACGUGGUACAUGAAGAGAGUGUGAUGGCCAUGUUCUCCUUCAGAGUCCGGACGAUGUCGGCGGGAUUCUUGUGGGAUUUACCGAACAGCGGCAUGGUGGCUGGGCCUCUCCUUGGUUCUCUCCUGGCAGCCUUAAAAACACACACAUUAUAUACCCUAUCUAUCGAUAGCAUAUAAAUUACACAACUGGGUGGUUUGAGCCCUGAAUGCUGAUUGGCUGACAGCCACGGUAUAUCAGGCCGUAUACCACAGGUACGACAACAUUUAUUUUUACUGCUCUAAUUACGUUGGUAGCCAGUUUAUAACAGCAACAAGGCACCUCAGGGGUUUGUGAUAUAUGGCCAGUAUACCACAGCUAAGGUCUGUAUCCGUGUUGCGUCAUGCAUAGGAACAGCCCUUAGUCCUGGUAUAUUGGCCGUAUACCACACCCCCUCAGGCCUUAUUGCUGAUUUAUACCGUCCGUCGGAUUGAAACUCAGUUUUUUCAUGCUACAAAAAAAUUACUAUCAGAGGCAGAUAAUUUAUUUAAAAGUCCCAAUUCAGAAAACAUUUAUUGGAAGAUGUAAUGCUUCUCAUUUCCUCAGAUCAAAACCGUGUCCUAUCCUUCGGGAGAAUACAUACACACACACUACCGUUCAAAAGUUUGGGGUCACUUAGAAAUGUCCUUGUUUUGAAAGAGAACACAUUUUUUGUCCAUUAAAAUGACAUAAAAUUGAUCAGAAAUACAGUGUAGACAUUGUUAAUGUUGUGAAUGACUAUUGUAGCUGGAAACUGCUGAUAUUUAAUGGAAUAUCUACAUAGGCGUACAGAGGCCCAUUAUCAGCAACCAUCACUCCUGUGUUUCAAUAGCAUGUUGUGUUUGCUAAUCCAAGUUUAUCAUUUUAAUAGGCUAAUUGAUCAUUAGAAAACCAUUUUGCAAUUAUGUUAGCACAGCUGAAAACUGUUGUUCUGAUUAAAGAAGCAAUAAAACUGGCCUUCUUUAGA